rnacentral:tRNA from 1 species
UGGGGUGUAGUUCAACUGGCAGAGCGCCGGAUUGUUACUCCGGAAGUUGGAGGUUCGAAGCCUCUCACCCCAGCCA